UGCCUACGGGGCGCAGCAGUCGAGAAUCAUUCACAAUGGGGGAAACCCUGAUGGUGCGACGCCGCGUGGGGGAAUGAAGGUCUUCGGAUCGUAAAGUUCUGUUGAAGGGGAAAAAGAGCGGAGAGAGGAAAUGGUCUCCGAUUGAUAUUACCCUUCGAGGAAGUCACGGUUAACUACGUGCCAGCAGCCGCGGUAAUACGUAGGUGGCGAGCGUUAUCCGGAAUGAUUGGGCGUAAAGGGUGCGUAGGCGGCCUGCUAAGUCUGGAGUGAAAGGUACCGGCUCAACCGGUACAGGCUCUGGACAC
rnacentral:rRNA from 1 species